GCCAUUUGCAGCAGAGAAGUGGUGAAAAAUGUGCUUGUGAGUAGGCCUCGGCACUGCGCUCCUGUCAGGUGCUCCACUAUAGAACAGAUAUGCAAAGAAGAAAGUUCUGCCAUGGAAGUAAUGCAGAAAGCUAAGGAAAAGAAGACUUCUAAGUUCAAUUCUAAGGAGGGGCAGAAACACUACAUUUGAAGACUGGAGUUGAAAGUCUGAGUUUAUGGUGGAGAGGUGCUGUUUCCAAGCUUUAAUUGUAAGAAUGAUUCAUUGUCGCGCGAGAUGUUCAUGGAAGAUUAUGCAGAACUUUACUGCUACUAAGGUAACAGAGAACACACAAACCAAAGAUUGCAGAUGUAUGAAAAAUAUGAUAAAGGAUUGUUUAUUUAGCAAGGUGCAACAGGCACAGAAGAAAAAUCCAGGAGAAACUGAACAUUAUAUUUAAGGCAGGAUAAAG
rnacentral:lncRNA from 1 species